rnacentral:rRNA from 1 species
UACGUAGGGUCCGAGCGUUGUCCGGAAUUACUGGGCGUAAAGAGCUCGUAGGUGGUUUGUCGCGUUGUUCGUGAAAACUCACAGCUUAACUGUGGGCGUGCGGGCGAUACGGGCAGACUGGAGUACUGCAGGGGAGACUGGAAUUCCUGGUGUAGCGGUGGAAUGCGCAGAUAUCAGGAGGAACACCGGUGGCGAAGGCGGUUCUCUGGGCCUUACCUGACACUGAGGAGCGAAAGCGUGGGGGGCGAACAGG